GCUCAUUUGUCCCUUGAGGGUCCCUCAAUAAGUGGCAUGGUCUGACCACCCCCAAGGGAGGAAAUGUAUUCUUCCAGCCAGACCCUGGCCCCUCUAUGCUGGCCGGCACUCACCGGUCCCCCUAGGGGGGAGAGAACUGGCCUGCCUCAUGCCACCUUGGUGGUCUCGGCUCAGACAACGUUACGUUUCUAGGACAGCAAGCGAAUCCUUGUUGCUGGCUGCCCGGGAGGGCAGAGCAGAGACUGCGAGACCCCUGGCCUGUGUCCGUCUCCACAGGCUCACGGGAGUGCUGAAGCACACUCCGCACCCCCCCUCCUGAGGCCUCCAGGCUGCUGUGCCCUUGGGCGGCUGAGGAUGACCUUGCAGAGUGGCCCUGCUGGUGGGUCUCUUCAAACCAAUGAGACCACCGGGCGAGGUCUACAAGAGCUGUCCCAUGGGGCUCGGCUCGGCUGCAGGCGCCAUGGGAUGACGCCCAGCCCCAAGGACCAAGGGCACAGGCUGCCCCAGAGCUGACCGGCGGUACACUGGACACCAACACUGCUGAGACGUGAGGCAGAGGCCAGGGGCCACCAAAAGCUCACAUUCCUGCCUACAGUUGCUGGGAGUCCUCCCAGGGCUGCCCCCUCGGCCUGCCCAGGCAGACUACCCCGCAGCGUGGGGAAGCAAGUUCACAUGCACUGCACAGUAAGCAAGCCCAGAUGCUGUCGAAGAGCUUCAGGGACUCAUGCAUGCGGUUCUGCAACAGAGCGGAGAGGUGCGUGAGGGCCGGCAGAGCCCUGGUCCCGACCCACCACAGGCAAGACACAAGGGAUAAGCAGAGGGCAGGUCCACCCACGCGCUGACGCACCACGGGGAGACCAGGACGGACAGGGUGCAGCCCCUGCUUCAUUCCACACGCAGGCAGGGGUAGGGGCUCUGGGGUCCGGGUAGGAGCUGCCCCUCUGGCCCAGAGAGCUGACCCUGGACAGGGGCAGUGAGGGGCUGGGGGUGUCCAGCCCCAGAGAGGACAUGCACCAUGCACACAGGGUGGGCUGAGACCACCACCCAGCACAUCUAUCCUGGACCCCGGGGCAUGCAGACCUCCUUAGGACUCAUGGGCUUUGCCCACCUGGCGGGGUCAGGAGGGGCACGCAUUCAGCGGGGAAACAUUAACUGAGGACAGAGGCCCUCGAGUUAAUCUUGAGUUGGAAGCAGACACCCGGGGGGACAGCAUUGGGGGGUGGUCUUGCUGUGGUUUGAGUGUGGUCGGCCGGCUGGGCUGGGGCUCUAGGCAAGCUGGUUGGGGGCUGCUUCUCAGGAGAUGGGCCAGAGACCCAAAGGAAACAGCACAGCAGAUGCAGA